GCAUGGCCAUGGCACCACUGCAGUUCCUGAUCGUGGCCUCAGGGGCUUGGCGGCAGUGCCAAAGCAGGCCCAGCUUGUUCAGAUCCGGGGCUGCUUAGAUGCCACCUGAGUGAUUCCUUUAGCAGCAAGCAACAUUC
ensembl:snoRNA SNORA50B small nucleolar RNA SNORA76